AGAUCUAUGAUUGUCCGCAAUGGCGGUACAAGUGGUCACGUAGGUCGCCGGCGUGGUCGUGUCUGGUGGACUGGGGCACUCGUAGAUGGCGUCAAGUAGGCAUCCAUCCUCCUCAUCGUACUUGAUCAUCUGCAUUAUAUCCUGAAAAGAAGUUAACAAAUACACUCAAAAUAAUUUAUUCACAACAUUUCCUCUAGUAUAUACGCUAUGCACUUCGGAUACAAUUUGUCACCGCAUGCGGUAGCAAACACGUUGUGGCUGAAUCCUGGAAGAGUGUCACCGAACUGGGAAUAAAAUUUUGUCAAAUCUGGGGACAAUUGAUUGCCGGUGUUUCGUUUCUACCGCAAGGAAUGCAAAAACUCCAGCUAACAACGCGCCCUAUUUAUCUUCUGGCUACACAAUGUUGGUUUCUGGAUUUUAUGUAAAACCGAGGGCUUACAAGACGUACCGAUCACUUCGACAACCCUACAACUUAAUUCAUGAGUAUAUCAGUGUGCAGAUGAUAUUCAAACAAGUCAUGUCAAUAUAUGGAUUCUGGUUGCUUGUCAUGCACGCGUUCAUGGGGCAGUUUGCGUUAUUUUGCAAUUAUUCUGUAAUCAAGUACUGGGACCAAUUGAAUCCGUUAACCAGGUCUGGAGCGCGGUAGUUCUAAUCCCUUGGAUUUCAUUCCUCCACGUGUCCGGGAACUUUUACCAAUUAUCGCAGAGAACUUUGAAAUCUUGGAAGGAAAUUAAAUGUAGAAAUACAUUGGAAAGAAAAUAUCUGUCAAAAUCGAGAAAGGCAUGUCGACCAUUGAAAGUGGGGGCGGACGGUGUAUUCACAAUUAAACGAUUGACUGUGUUGAAGUUCAUUAGAGGAAUUAUAAAGGGGACUUUUAGGGCAAUGAUGACCAUUGGAAGGAAAUGAAUUGUCUGCAACAAAUUAUGUUUAUGUACAACGCUAUUAAAAUAAUUCGCUAAAUAAAAAUAAUGCUGAAUAUGUUAUG